GGAGUUCUGAAUGGGUCACUCCAAAUCAGUCAAAUCUGGCUUUAGACACCACUGUUUAAAAUCUGCCCACAUCUCCUGAAAGGGGCAGACAAAGCAUUAUGAAACGAAUCGCAUAACUAUUCUUUUGUGAGAUUAAAAGCAAGGAGUGAAAGUAUAAUGUGGCCAUGAUGGAGAGCAGAGUGCUGAUGAGAGAGACAGAUUUGUUAGGUGAUAACUUUUGUAACCCAUUGGCAACAUGUUGUGUCCCUGGGGGCCAAACAGAUGUGCUGAUUCUGAUGCCAAAUGGAAAAAAUGGGUCCAAGAGGAAAGUAAAAGUGGAAAAAGCACUUGCCUGGGGAGAUGAAAAUAAACUUCUUGAGAUUCUCUUUGUUGGGAACAAACAGUGGUGGCAGAUUUUUUCAUCUGGUCAUGAAAAAGGGAGGUAUUUCCAAUGGAAGUGCAUCUUUGGAGACAUUCCAGGAGAAAGAACUUAAAUAAUAAAAUCAUACGCG
rnacentral:lncRNA from 1 species